rnacentral:rRNA from 1 species
AUUGAACGCUGGCGGCAUGCUUUACACAUGCAAGUCGAACGGUAACAGGCCGCAAGGUGCUGACGAGUGGCGAACGGGUGAGUAAUGCAUCGGAACGUGCCCAGUCGUGGGGGAUAACGCAGCGAAAGCUGCGCUAAUACCGCAUACGAUCUAUGGAUGAGAGCGGGGGACCGUAAGGCCUCGCGCGAUUGGAGCGGCCGAUGCCAGAUUAGGUAGUUGGUGGGGUAAAGGCUCACCAAGCCAACGAUCUGUAGCUGGUCUGAGAGGACGACCAGCCACACUGGGACUGAGACACGGCCCAGACUCCUACGGGAGGCAGCAGUGGGGAAUUUUGGACAAUGGGCGCAAGCCUGAUCCAGCAAUGCCGCGUGCAGGAAGAAGGCCUUCGGGUUGUAAACUGCUUUUGUACGGAACGAAACGGUCCUGGUUAAUACCCGGGGCUAAUGACGGUACCGUAAGAAUAAGCACCGGCUAACUACGUGCCAGCCGCCGCAGUAAUAC